UACAUGGGGGGCAAGCGUUGUUCGGAAUUACUGGGCAUAAAGGGUGCGUAGGUGGCUUGUUAAGUCAGGGGUGAAAGUUUUCGGCCCAACCGGAAAAUGGCCUUUGAUACUGGCGAGCUCGAGUGCGUGAGGGGUAACCGGAACGAGCAGUGUAGCGGUGAAAUGCGUAGAUAUUGCUCGGAAGGCCAACGGCGAAGGCAGGUUACUGGUACGCAACUGACACUGAGGCACGAAAGCGUGGGGAGCAAACAGG
rnacentral:rRNA from 1 species